rnacentral:rRNA from 1 species
CAGAGGGUGCAAGCGUUGCUCGGAUUUACUGGGCGUAAAGCGUACGCGGACGGUGAGAAAGGUCGGAUGUGAAAGCCCCGGGCUCAACCCGGGAACUGCAUCCGAAACCAUCUCGCUAGAGUAUGGGAGAGGGAAGCAGAAUUCCUGGUGUAGAGGUGAAAUUCGUAGAUAUCAGGAGGAAUACCUGUGGCGAAGGCGGCUUCCUGGCCCAUUACUGACGUUCAGGUACGAAAGCGUGGGUAGCAAACAGGAUUAGAUACCCUGGUAGUCCACGCCGUAAACGAUGUGUGCUGGAUGUCGGGGGUAUUCACCCCCUCGGUAUCGAAGCUAACGCGAUAAGCACACCGCCUGGGGAGUACGGCCGCAAGGUUG